UUUUUCUGCUAGAAUUGGAGAAAUUGACUUAUAAGAUUAUUUAUCCCCCAUUAUGUAGACUAAAUCGGCCUGCCUCCAUUGCCUCCACAUGGUGCAGGUUGUAUGUUGCAUCCAAUUACCAUUUUCCACUAAUUAAUUGUAUUCUGCGUAUUGCUUGCCUAAUUCCUUUCAAAUGUCUAACACUCCAACUCACUCGAGCUCAGGUUCACUUCCUACAGAUGAUGAAGAUAUUAUAGAUUUAUAGAUUGAUAGGUGGGGAUGAACAGACUUGGCACUUGUUAGGCAUUUUUUUAUAGUUUUCAUUGUGUUUGUUGUACAAUUAGACUUGGCAUCGGAGAUAUAAUAUAAUGCGCUGGGGUGAUUUUCUGCUAAAGGUCCUUAGUUUGUUUCUAAAAUAUGACAAUUAAUUGGUUAGUACACAGUACUGACAAUAUGGGCAAGAUCAAAAUUUACACUAUCAAGAUUUUUGGGUUGCUCUCACAAGCUGCAGAUUGCAGAGAUAUACGUGUGUUGCAUUACCUUUGUGAUGAACUUCAUUAAAUUGGUUACUUAUAUUUGUUGUAGGAUUUCCACUACAACUAUCUAUUCCUUUUCACUGUUUCCAUAAAUUAUACUUAUAAUUGAACCCUGUCCUAUGCUGCAAAUGCAAGGUUCAUCAUUUGUGAAGCCACUUUGGUUGGCAAGAAUUUUACUUAGAUUAACUUUGUUCUGUACUGCAAGCUUUGUCAUACUUCUCUGUUUAUGAAUUAAGUUGGUUACUACCAACUAUGCAUCUUUCUUCAAAGUUAGAUCAAAAUAUUUUCUCCAUACCACCUGCCACAUGACUAUACAAUUACCAUGUUUGAGAAAAGAUAUUGCAGCCAUUCCUUUCAAUGCAGGUUUUAUUUGCUGGGCGAUGUUAUAUAUGAUCAUUGGAGGAGUAACCUUAGGGUGUACUAAGUAUCAAAUGAUAUCACAUAAUGUAGUGGGUAUCAUUGAAAACAGAUUUGACUGAACAUUAGAGUCUCACUCUCACACAAGGGACAUCUUUUUAUGUGUUUCUCAGGAGAAGGUUACCUUGAAUUUCGCCGGCCUUCUUUUAAAUGAUAUGGUUGAAAUGAUCAGUGACAGAAUUCUUAUGUUUGGAUGCAUUCAAGAAUGGAUCAAGAAACAAUGGAUUUUAGGAUUUCUGGAUACUUAUACUUAAUUUCUUCUUUCCAAUAGUAUAGACUGUACAUUUCACUACAAUGUAUUCUCUAAAUGUAUACUUUUACGUAUACUACAUAUACGUUUGUUUCCUUUCUAUGAUCAAUGUACCUUCUUGUACCUUCUGAUUAUUGAAAAUUAUAGUUUGUGUUA